UGAGGAACAUGACUUUCGGCGGGGGAUAGCCGGCCCAACGGCCGGGUAAUACCGCGUACGACCUUUUGGGGACAUCCCUGAUUGGUGAAAGCAGCAAUGCGCCGAAAGAGUGCCUCGCGGCCUAUCAGCUAGUUGGUGGGGUAAUGGCUCACCAAGGCAACGACGGGUAGCUGGUCUGAGAGGAUGGCCAGCCACAUUGGGACUGAGACACGGCCCAGACCUCCGUACGGGAGGCAGCG
rnacentral:rRNA from 1 species